AACACGUUGGGCUCGAAUUUUUCUUUAUGCCUGAUUGAAUUGGGGCUUUGCAUCUUGAUUGAUAGGAGUGGUUGUUGAUGGUGUUCACAAACAAAAUAGAAGAACCAUGAGCCUAAAGCAUUCAUUUGCCAAUAACGUGUUUGUCAAAAUGUCAAUCCUUCUUUGUCCAAGCCAAUGAUCCAGGAGAUGGAUUUACCGAGUCAUUAAAAGGUAUAGUUAGCAAUAUAUUUCUACAAAAGCAAUGCAUCACCCCUAUUACCAGUGAUGCACCUCUGCUAUGUCUGAUAAUAUUAUGCAGUCAUGUUCAUUUUACAACUUUUGUAACUUUUGUUUUUGGUAAUAGAGAAAAAAUCUUGCUACUAUUCUUGCUCUUGCUUUUGCGUGCACAUGGUUUUUCAUAUACUUAUUUCUAAUUUCUAGGGGUUUUAUGAUCUGAUUUGUGCGUUUUCCUUCUCCUAACUGCAGUUUUGCCCUUCAUCAAUGCCCUGACCCAACGUCGCAGCUCUUUCCAUUGCCGUUAACCAACUUGCAGCUGCAAGCAACAAAGGUUCAAUACACAUGCAUCGUUGUGCUAUCACUCAGAGGUAUGAUGCGUAACCCUUAACCCAUUGGUUAGGGAAGAAGGGAGCAACAAACAAUUAGAAGAAAGCGCCUAUAGGGUGAUUGAUCAACUGUAUUUCAAGUCUAUAUGUUAGCUGAUGGGGGAACGGUAAACUCCCUAAGUUAGAUUUGUUUCCUCCUCAGAUUGUGGUACUAAAGUUUAUUAAAUAGAAACCAGGGUAAGAGUUGAUUAUACACUUUGUUAUUGAUGAUUUUUGGGGUUUUGCAUAUUGAAGUUUACUUCGCUUCUCUCAGAGGUAUAAAAUUUAACUUCAAGUUGGUUUCCAUUAUUC